UACGUAGGGUGCGAGCGUUGUCCGGAAUUAUUGGGCGUAAAGAGCUCGUAGGCGGUGUGUCGCGUCGGCCGUGAAAACCUGCAGCUUAACUGUGGGCUUGCGGUCGAUACGGGCAUCACUGGAGUUCGGCAGGGGAGACUGGAAUUCCUGGUGUAGCGGUGAAAUGCGCAGAUAUCAGGAGGAACACCGGUGGCGAAGGCGGUUCUCUGGGCAUUACCUGACGGCUGAGGAGCGAAAGUGUGGGGAGCGAACAGG
rnacentral:rRNA from 1 species